rnacentral:rRNA from 1 species
CCUUGACAUACUAAGAACUUUCCAGAGAUGGAUUGGUGCCUUCGGGAACUUAGAUACAGGUGCUGCAUGGCUGUCGUCAGCUCAUGUCGUGAGAUGUUGGGUUAAGUCCCGCAACGAGCGCAACCCUUUUCCUUAUUUGCCAGCGGGUCAUGCCGGGAACUUUAAGGAUACUGCCAGUGACAAACUGGAGGAAGGCGGGGACGACGUCAAGUCAUCAUGGCCCUUACGGCCAGGGCUACACACGUGCUACAAUGGUCGGUACAAAGGGUUGCUACCUCGCGAGAGGAUGCUAAUCUCAAAAAGCCGAUCGUAGUCCGGAUCGCAGUCUGCAACUCGACUGCGUGAAGUCGGAAUCGCUAGUAAUCGCGGAUCAGAAUGCCGCGGUGAAUACGUUCCCGGGCCUUGUACACACCGCCCGUCACACCAUGGGAGUUUGUUGCACCAGAAGUAGGUAGUCUAACCGCAAGGAGGACGCUUACCACGGUGUGGCCGAUGACUGGGGUGAAGUCGUAACAAGGUAGGCGUAGAUGA